rnacentral:rRNA from 1 species
UUGGUUAUGCUGAUAAGAGCGUAUGGUGGAUGCCUUGGCACUAAGAGCCGAUGAAAGACGUGAUAAGCUGCGAAAAGCUUCGGGGAGGAGCAAAUAUCCUUUGAUCCGGAGAUUUCUGAAUGGGGAAACCUACUUGAGCAAACCUCAAGUAUCCUUAAGCCAAUACAUAACUUAAGGAAGGGAACCCGGUGAACUGAAACAUCUAAGUAGCCGGAGGAAGAGAAAACAACAUGUGAUUCUGUGAGUAGCGGCGAGCGAAAACGGAAGAGCCCAAACCAGCGUGCGUGCAUGCUGGGGUUCGGACCGCGGAAUUGAUUCAACGAGUUUAGCAGAACGGUUUUGGGAAAGCCGGCCAGAGAGGGUGAAAGCCCCGUAAGCGAAAGACGAGUUGACAUGGCGGGAUCCAGAGUACCACGAGACACGUGGAACCUUGUGGGAAGAUGCGGGGACCACCCCGUAAGGCUAAAUACUACUUAGUGACCGAUAGCGCAUAGUACUGUGAAGGAAAGGUGAAAAGGACCCCGGGAGGGGAGUGAAAAAGAACCUGAAACCAUAUGUUUACAAGCUGUGGAAGAGCUUUAUAUGCUCAACCGCGUACUUUUUGUAGAACGGUCCGGCGAGUUACGCUGGCUGGCGAGGUUAAGGACUGAAGGUCCGGAGCCGAAGGGAAACCAAGUCUGAAUAGGGCGCAUAGUCAGUCGGAGUAGACCCGAAACCGGGUGAUCUAUCCAUGUCCAGGUUGAAGUUGCCGUAAAAGGCAAUGGAGGACCGAACCCACAUCCGUUGAAAAGGGUGGGGAUGAGGUGUGGAUAGGGGAGAAAUUCCAAUCGAACCCGGAGAUAGCUGGUUCUCCUCGAAAUAGCUUUAGGGCUAGCCUCAUACGAGUCUUGCGGAGGUAGAGCACUGAAUUCCUAAGGGGGCGUCAAAGCUUACUAAGGGAUAUCAAACUCCGAAUGCCGUGUAGAUGAUGUAUGGGAGUCAGACGAUCCGAGAUAAGUUGGGUGGUCAAAAGGGAAAGAGCCCAGACCAACAGCUAAGGCCCCAAAAUGUGUGUUAAGUGGAAAAGGAUGUGGGAUUUCGAAGACAACUAGGAUGUUGGCUCAGAAGCAGCCAUUCAUUCAAAGAGUGCGUAAUAGCUCACUAGUCGAGAGGUCCUGCGCCGAAAAUGUCCGGGGCUAAAACACACUGCCGAAGCUUUGGAAUUGAAUUAAUUCAAUUGGUAGAGGAGCAUUCUUAAAGGGACGAAGCAGUACCGUAAGGAGCUGUGGACUUUUAAGAAGAGAGAAUGCCGGAAUGAGUAGCGAGAGGAAGGUGGGAAUCCUUCCGGCCGAAUAUCUAAGGUUUCCAGAGUAAAGCUGAUCUGCUCUGGGUAAGUCGGGGCCUAAGGCGAGGUCGAAAGACGUAGUCGAUGGAUAACAGGUUGAAAUUCCUGUACUAUCCUGUAACAGAACUGUGGGGACACAGGCAGAGAGCGUGAGCCGGGAAUGGAAAGACCGGUACAAGCGAGGUAGGAGUCUGGUUGGCAAAUCCGCCAGGCAAUCCGAAGACGUGAUGUGGACUGAAAAUAAGUAGGGAAGCACGUG